UAAAAGGCUAUGACAGGAUUCAGUAGUGACUCUAUCACUGUUUUUAGAGAGCCGGUGGCAGGUGGAAACCGGUAUAUAUAGAGAAGCGAAUUACCUCCUCGAGCAUUUGCUGUGAACUUAGUAGCGGCAAACGGCAGCGACCGUUAUCGUUUUAAGCGGAGGGCGUGUUUGAUGUGUCCUCAAGUUGGGUGGUACCGCGAAUUCAUUCGUCCCUUCA
rnacentral:ncRNA from 1 species